rnacentral:lncRNA from 1 species
AACUAAGUCGGUUGACUUGUUUUUACAAAUGCUCAAACCGAUGUAGUGUAGUUUUCUUCCCCAAUCCCGCACAAGAGCCAAACCCUAGCUAUUGGCCAUCCUCUCUCUCUCUCUUGCUGCUUGUUCUCUUUCCUCCUCCCUCUGCUGGUAAGUCUUCUCUCUCUCUCUCUCAUUUUUUUAUUACUUUCAUUUUCUCUCAUCAAAAAAGCUUUGUUUAGUUUCUAUAUUAUUUUGAAGUUGUUUUAGAUGAAAAAUGUUUUUUCUUUUCUCUUUUUGAUAUUCUGAAGUUCAUUAGGUUUUACUAGAUCUUUGUUUUAGGGGAUUUGUAUGUUUAUUUUUGGAAAGAUUAGGAGCACGUAUAUUAGUUAUUGGGACCAAACUCUUUUUGUUGAUUUUUGGUGAAGUCUAUGAUUUAUGCAAAGAAUUUAGAAACUCCAUGUAUAUAUACACUUGAGAUAGUGGUUUAAAGAAAUUGUAUGCAUUUGUUGGCCUUUGCAAAAGGUAUUGGUUCUGCCUAAAUUGAGCUAUCCUACAUUAGUUGAAAGGUGAAAUAUAAGAUGAUUGGAGGUGAUUAGUGUCAUCUUUGUGGCCUAAGUUGUAUCAUAUUGGGCCAAACCAGAAACUGCUUUUGUGGAAAAUACAUUUAAACUAAGAAAUGUUCUAAGAAUGUACUAUUUUUUAGGCUUAGUUUUUUUUUCAUUGGGAGUUGUUUCUAAUCAUCAAUUCGUAGGGUUUCGUAGCACAAACAAACAAACAAACAAAUAUAUAUAAACGAAACCAUCUUAUAGCCAUGACGAAGACCCUGUAAGCAAUCAUAUGGCUAAAGUACACUUCAUAUUUAUCAAUUUUGAAUACAAUUGAACCCCACUUAUGGACAGUUCAAUUGUUUCAAAUAGAUCUCCUUCACUUGUUAAGCAAGUAAGAAAGAGCAUAGUCGUCACAUAGAGAAAAAAAGAAAUAAAAGUUACACAAUAGACUACUGAGAACAUUGUGAGAGUUCAUUAUUAUAAACCUACACACAAAUUAUUCUUACAAGAAGUUUAUACAGUACACAACUCCAUAACUAGGAACCUUACAUGCAUUAUCACCCUAACAAUUAUAUAACAGGAAAAACACACACUUGGAAAAUAAAAUUUCAUGAAAGCAACAAAAGCAGACAAGAACACAUGGCUUGUGUCCCAUCUUGCUUACCAUAAAACCACAUAGGUGCUAAAUAACUACAUCUUCGGUAGAUGCAUAUGGACGCAUAAAACAGUUACCUCCCGCUACGUAGUGGCAGUACUAUGUGCUCCUUUAUGCUAUCAUACGCAGUCGUUGUGUUUCUAGAACCUUCAAAUCCAGAAGCAUCCGAUGCCACACCAAGCGACUCAGUCUCCUCAGAAUCUUCAUUAGUCCAUGGAUGUUUCCCAACCAUUCUUAAACUCUCAAGUUCCAUUGCUACUUGCUUCAUAGUAGGCCUCUCCUCCCCGUUCACUCUCAGGCAGCUCCUUGCAAUUUUAGCAACUUCCUUGAGCUGCUCGGUAUUUCCUUCUUGAACUACACAAUUGUCAAGAAUUUCAAACAACCUAUCAUCCUUUAGAGUAAUAAGAAAAUGCAUAGCGAGACAUCUCUCAUCCUCUGGCCGAUCGAAAGAAAGUACCGUUUUCCCAGUAAGUAGCUCAACGAGUACAACCCCAAAGCUAUAAACAUCACUUUUCUCCGUCAAUUGACUCGUGUGCAUGUAUUCCGGGUCCAAGUAUCCAAAAGUACCCUGCACGAUUGUGGACAAUUGCAUUUCAUCCAGGGGAACUAACCUUGACACUCCAAAGUCGCACACUUUUGCAGCGUAAUUAUCAUCUAACAAUAUAUUCGUGGACUUGACGUCUCUAUGAAUAAUUGGAAUAGCAGCUUCAGAAUGCAAAUACGAUAGCACUCCAGCAGUUUCCGCAGCAAUUCUUAGACGGAUUUCCCAUGAAACCAAGGAGGCCUUUCUUUCACAAUGUAUAUGGUCAUGGAGUGUGCCGUUUGAGAUGAAUUCGUAUACUAACAAGGGGACUGAUUCUUCUAAGCAACAACCCAAAAGCUUGACUACAUUUCUAUGAUUGAUUUGUGAGAGCACAAUCAUCUCAUUGAUGAAUUGAUCUAUUUGGCUUUGAUCGACUACUUUGGACUUCUUGAUCGCAACUGUCGUGUUAUUAUCUUUUAAAACUCCUUUGUAGACUGUACCAAAACCUCCUUUUCCUAUGAUUUUGCUGUCAGCGUAGUUGUCAGUGGCCUUCUCAAGCUCUUCUGCUGUAAAGAUUUUUGCUGUUUCAGUGGAUCCUUCUUGUUGAGAGAGUUUCUGCUUUAACAGCAAGCCUCCAUUUUGCCGAAAGAAUUUUUCUUUCAGCUUAACGAGUUUUCUUCUCUUUUGUACCACAUACAGUGAAGAGAGAGCCAUAAUAAAAACUGCAACACCUAUUGCAAUGCCUGUAUGUCAAGUAUUGAAAUGUCAACAUGAUAUAGAGAUUUAGGCUUCCAAAUAUACUAGUAAUUGGUUUGUUCAACAUUGACAACAUUUGGAAAUUCUUGAAACCAGAACUGUUAAAAUAUGCUCAUCAGGAAAACUGAUGAAUCUAAGAAGCUGAGAUUCGAAACCAAAAUAUAUGGCCUGAUUAGAAUUUCAUUUACAAUCUUAUUUAGUAGUAAAUUUUAUGGAGAUAGUGCAUUCGCUUCCAUUUUAGGAAGCAAGCAUUUACUUUGCUAAUAGACUCUAUUUUUGUCCUUAUAAUGACAAAAAGAUAGAAAUAGAGUACGGCAAAACUCAUUCACUCUAGUUACUAAAGGUGCGCUUUUGUAAGGCGAGCAUUGCCUUCUUGUAAAUAAAGAUGAGCAUUUUGACCAAACAAAAUAUUCAUCUCACAAAAAUACAGCUAAUAUCUCCAUUCCAUUUGCCCCAAAUUCUUCUCUUGUAAUUGUUGGAAAAAGGAGAAUUAUUAAGAGUGUUUGUAUUGAAAGAAUUUUGGAAGAGGGUCAAAUAAUAAGACAAGAGUGGGAAAGUAAACACUUUGUAUUACACUUGGAUGCAAACCUUUUCUUUUGGGCAUAGUACAAAAUGAGUAGAACCCAUCCAUAUUUAUACUAUUUAUGAAAGGUUCUAGAUUUCUUUACAAGAUAAUAUUUAAGUAAAUUCUAGAUUUUACACAUGUGAUAAAUACAUACAACAAAUAUGUAGGAUAUUUCUAAAGACUUUUCUAUACAUCUUCUAGAAUCUAAGUAUUUCUAGAACUCUUCUAGAAAUUACAUACAUCUCCUUCCAAACUAUCUUCUAUUUUGGGCUUUCUGUAUUGGGGUUCAUCUAUUAUUUUUCUUGGAUCAAAUCAAGUUUAUACUUCAACAGUAAUCUCAUAAAGUUUUAUGAACUAAAACUUUACAUGAAGUAGACUUGUUUCCCUCGAAGAAUACGUGUAGGUAACAUUGAAAAGAUACGUAAACUUAAUUGCUUAAUCUUAAGACCUUUCUAUUUUUUUUCAUUAAUUCAAAUGGCUUGCUUGUAGUUAAAACAGAAAAAAGAAUUGAAAAGAGGAACUGAUAGGGAGAUUCCAAUUAUUUGUUCUUAUUCCCAGAAGAGGAAAGAAAAUCUCAAACAACGAAGGAUUUUAAAUGAAACAUGUAAUUAUGACCGAAAACGUAACGAAAUGGAUCAAUGGCCUCUAUCACAUUAGGUGGGCCCAUUGUGUUGUGUAUCGUCUUCGUUUGAGACGUUGGUGGUAAAUCGUUUCAGUGAUUCUAGCAUAAAUCGAACUAAAUGCUAAAACUUACCGAUACCAAUCUUGUAGACCAGAAAUUUUUCAUGAUGAGCGCAACCUUUUCCAUCUUUUCUUCCAUCCCCAUGGUAUCCCUUUGGACAAGAACAUGUGUAAUUUCCUUGGGUAUUGGUACAAACUUCUUCACACUGAUUGAUUCUUGCAUCUUUACAUUCAUCAACGUCUGCAAAAAAUAAAUAAAUAAAGUCAUCCUUUAACCUUAAGGCACAGACAAUAAAGGCUAUGAAAAUCGAAACAUCUGUUUAUAUAACGUGUACCUUGGCAACCGCCGGCAAGGUAUGGAUUUCCUUGGUAUCCUUCCAAGCAACGACAACGGUAUCCAGCUUUAUUAUUAGUAUCAUAACACACACUAUUAUCAUCCACACAUGCGUAUGAUCCAGUCGAGUUCUUCGUUGCUACUUCACAUGUUUCGUUAGAAAUUACCCAGUCAAGCACCGCCGGAAUGUCUGUUUCACUUCGCAAACCAGUUAGCUCUGCUAAAGAGAAGUUAAACUUGUCCUCUUCCACUACAAAAGCAUAUCCACAAGGGCUAAAAUUCCAGACACUUGUAUGAUUGGCACCGCUAGUUAACGCCACUUGAUAGGAGCUUACUCCUUCUGGGAUUGGCGUUUGGCAACAACCGAUUCCUGAGCAAGAUCCGUUGCUGACAUAGUCCAUCCUGUCACACAGAGAUAUGCACCCACUCAGGUACGGUUUGUCACCUUGAUAGCCUGCGAUGUAUCCGAAAGUGUCACAACCAAUAGCAGUGAACUUGUUUUUGGUACUUGAGAGCCUCAUUGUACUCAAAUUACCGUGGCCUCAUUGUACUUAAUCUGUGUGCCCAACUGGUCAUAGCAAUCAUGAGCUAUGUGCUGCAAGAUAUUCACCUCACCAUCGAAGAUUGAUAUAUUUGUGACAUUGUAAUUACUUCUCCAUAGAAACGGUUUGGGAGGGCUGAAACUUUUGCAUGUUAUCAGGAAGUCGUCAUUAUAGUAACAGCCCUUCGUCAUACCAAAUGGAUAAGGGAUGCUAACGUUGCCGCACCUGUCUUGGCAACCCUCCUUGGCUCGUGCAAUUCCCUGGACAACCAUUGCUGCUGCUACUACCCCAACCAACGUGAGUUGGAGGAGCAUUCUUUGCAGUACCAUGAUUGGUUUCCUUGUUCUGAGAUGAGAUGAGAUAUGAUGAAUCUAGGCAGGUAUAGUUAGCUUUCUAAGCAUCAGAUUCUGAUAGUUUUGUGGUAGCAAAUUAAUUUAAGCUGAAAGCAGCUAUUUAUAUCAAAAAGUACUUGGAGUGCGUUUGUCAGAACUUUUUCUGUUGCAUUUCUUUUAUUUUCUGUUUUGGAAGUUGUGUCACAGAAGUUUGUCACAAUUUUUGCUUUCUGUUUAUCUGCGUAAAACAAUUUUAAGAAGUUUGAAAAUAACUGAUUUUUGAAAACUCAAUUUUGAUGUUUUCAACUGCUGCUGUUGAAUAAUCAAUAUUAACAUAAGUUCAGCUACAAUAAUUACCCCUUUAUUGUUUAUCGUGUGAAAUGGUUAAAUAUAGGGAAAAUCUACGGCAAUGGUGAAGGCAACACAACUGUUAAAUCAUUGAAUGUUGUGGUACCUUGCAUUAUUUAGCGUAUGUUUGGCUUGGGGUACUUUUUUGUUUUCAUUCUUCAAAGACUUGUAUAUUUGGUGGAGUAAACUUUUUGUGUUAAAUUGUAAAGAUGGCCAAAAAUAAGACGAUGGUUGUCACAUAUCACUUGUUUUUAUCAUCAUAUUAUUUUACUGUAUAUGUGGUAAGAUAUGAUUCGCGAUAAUUGUACAUUCACAUAAUCUUUUUUAAAUAAGAAACAAAUUAUAAGUAUUAUAUAUUGUGAGACUUACUCUUUAUGAGCAUAUAAGUAAAAAUUAGACAAAUGAUCUGUGACUUUGAUGAAGAUUCUUACUUGAUGGCUUCGUGGAAAUGGGAAAUUUUGGCGCUAUUGGUAGAAAAAUGAAAUAAUGUUAAACGAAGAAUGAAGACCAUGCCACACUUGAUAGGGAUCCUGGAUAUUGUAUAUUCUGCACCAUUCAUUAUCAAAAACAUGAUUUGUGAAUGCUAUUAUUCAAGAAAGUCUUGAUAGCAAUGUAGUUGUUUGUUUCUAAUUGAGGGUAUAGUCAAUUCUAAGUGAAACUAAGCAUAUUAUGCACCUUUCAUUUUCAAAAACAUUAUCUGUGAACGCUAUUAUUCAAGAAAUUCUUGAUAGCAAUGUAGUUGUUUGUUUCUGAUUGUGGGUAGUCAAUUCAUCAGUGGGUAGUCAAUUCUCAGUGAAACUAACUCUAAAGACGAUCAAAAUUAUGAAUUUGGUUGUAAUUUUCAAAAUUAAUUUUAGAGAACACAUUAUAAAAUUUAUUUCCAGAAUAUAAGGGUAUGUUUAGUAACGGUGUUCUAUUUUCAAUUUUCUAGAUUUCGGAAAUAGAUUUAUGUUGAGAUAAAAAUUUGG